rnacentral:rRNA from 1 species
CUACGAAGGGGGCUAGCGUUGUUCGGAAUUACUGGGCGUAAAGCGCACGUAGGCGGAUAUUUAAGUCAGGGGUGAAAUCCCAGAGCUCAACUCUGGAACUGCCUUUGAUACUGGGUAUCUUGAGUAUGGAAGAGGUAAGUGGAAUUGCGAGUGUAGAGGUGAAAUUCGUAGAUAUUCGCAGGAACACCAGUGGCGAAGGCGGCUUACUGGUCCAUAACUGACGCUGAGGUGCGAAAGCGUGGGGAGCAAACAGG